rnacentral:rRNA from 1 species
UACGUAGGGUGCAAGCGUUGUCCGGAAUUAUUGGGCGUAAAGCGCACGUAGGCGGCUUAGCAAGUCGGAUGUGAAAUCCCUCGGCUCAACCAAGGAAGUGCAUCCGAAACUGCUGAGCUUGAGUACGAAAGAGGGUCGCGGAAUUCCCGGUGUAGAGGUGAAAUUCGUAGAUAUCGGGAGGAACACCGGUGGCGAAGGCGGCGACCUGGGUCGAUACUGACGCUGAGGUGCGAAAGCGUGGGGAGCGAACAGG